rnacentral:rRNA from 1 species
GGGUCAGUAGGUUGGUCGUGCCACCGGUACGUACUGGUCUCACUGAUUCCUCCUUCCUGAAGAACCGUAAUGCCAUUAAUUUGUUGUUGCGGGGGAACAGGACUGUUACUUUGAAAAAAUUAGAGUGUUUAAAGCAAGCUAACGCUUGAAUACAUUAGCAUGGAAUAAUGAAAUAGGACGAUCGAUCCUAUUUUGUUGGUUUCUAGGAUUGACGUA